rnacentral:rRNA from 1 species
GAUGAACGCUAGCGAUAGGCUUAACACAUGCAAGUCGAGGGGCAUCACAUGAGUAGCAAUACGAUGGUGGCGACCGGUGCACGGGUGAGUAACACGUAUGCAACCUGCCCGUAACUGGGGAAUAACCAGUCGAAAGGCGGACUAAUACCGCAUAAUAAUGGUUUACUGCAUGGUGAAUCAUCUAAAGAUUUAUCGGUUACGGAUGGGCAUGCGUUCCAUUAGGUAGUUGGUAGGGUAACGGCUUACCAAGCCUACGAUGGAUAGGGGUUCUGAGAGGAAGGUCCCCCACACUGGUACUGAGACACGGACCAGACUCCUACGGAAGGCAGCAGUGAGGAAUAUUGGUCAAUGGGCGAGAGCCUGAACCAGCCAAAUCGCGUGAAGGAUGAAGGUAUUAUGUAUUGUAAACUUCUUUUGUCAGGGAAUAAAGUGCGGCACGUGGGCUGUUUUGUAUGUACCUGAAGAAUAAGGAUCGGCUAACUCCGUGCCAGCAGCAGCCGCCGUAA